rnacentral:rRNA from 1 species
UACAGAGGGUGCGAGCGUUGAUCGGAAUUACUGGGCGUAAAGCGCACGUAGGUGGCGACGUAAGUCGGGUGUGAAAGCCCCGGGCUCAACCUGGGAAUUGCAUUCGAGACUGCAUUGCUGGAGUACGGAAGAGGAAGGCGGAAUUCCCGGUGUAGCGGUGAAAUGCGUAGAUAUCGGGAGGAACAUCAGUGGCGAAGGCGGCCUUCUGGUCCAGUACUGACACUCAAGUGCGAAAGCGUGGGGAGCAAACAGG